UCCAAAUAUUCCCUCUGAUCUGACAGUAUGGAGCAGUGAUCCACACUCAGUAUCAGUUGCUUGGCUGGAGGCUUAUAACGGAGGAUCAGAGCAGACGUUUGUUGUACAAUACCGAGCAGACACAACCUCACAGUGGACAAAUCUCACUGACGUCAUUCCAGAAAAAAGUGGUAGCAAAAUUCAGAAAGCUGUUAUAUCAAAUCUUCAAUCAAACACGAGAUAUAUUGUGCGGGUUUUGGCUUACAAUAAAUAUGGAUACAAAGGCUUUACAGAGGAACAGGGAGCUUUGACUUCACCUUCAGAUUCAUCAAAUGAAGUAACUGGAGCAGGGAUUGCAGUCGGGAUUGUGAUUGGAAUUGCUAUUGCUGCUGUGGCAGCGACUGUGUUUGUUAUUUUGUGGAGACGAGGCUAUGUGUGUGCAUCUUCACAAUCAGAUGGGCAGAAACCAGAAGGUAAUGUGUGGGCAGAAAUCAGAAGGUAAUGUACAUCAACAAGUACAACUAGACGAUAGAAGACGUGGAAACAAUCAAGACAAACACAAACGAGGGACUGGGUACUCAAGAUACGCCGUAUGAAAACAUGGACUUUUAUGAAAAUCUCAAAACAUGAGAAACCAUUAUGGUGAUAUAUUUAUACGUCAUAGAAUUAGGUUGCACGACGUACAUUCAACACUGAAGCAUUCAGACGGUUUCUGUUGGACUUUCCGAGGCUAAGUCACGAUAUGCGUAAUGCUACACUACUUACUGAACUGCUAUCUAUGGAAUACCUUAUAUAUGUAGUGGAAAUAAUCUAGAAAAGCGUUUAACCUAGAAAAGUGCUUUUCCAUAGUUUAGGUCCGCUAUUGAACAAAAUAUAUAUGAAACUAGUCUUAUAUAACUAUAUAUUGUACAUAGUUGUCUGUUUAUAAAAAUAGUCUUAGAGUUUGUAUAAUUAGCUGCGUUCACAUUUGCACUUUACACUGGUUUAACUAAACUGGUAUAACAAAACUGGUUUAAAUGGAAGUGUGAAGGCGAUCUUUUCACUGUACCGGUAUAGCUAAACCUGUAUCUAUAGCUACAACACUUCGGUAUCUGGUAAAACAGUUUAAAUGUAAGUAUGAACGGAAAGUGUUUUAGUUAAACCAAUAUAGAAGCGGAACGUCAUUGACGUCACAGUCAAGAUAAGCAGUAAGUUGUUUAACAUGGACCUAACAGACUGGAAGUCCGUUGGUGUUUUGAUGUUUUGCGCAAGUGCGGAAAACUACACUUCUGCCUUAUACAGAUAUAGCUGUUACACUUGUUUAACGCUCGUUAUUUCCCACGAAAAGUGUUUUGGCUAAACCAAUAUAGUUAUACCAGUAUAACUUGAGUACGAGUGAACACAGCUAUAUACGGUACAUAAUUAUGUAUUGGUAACAAAGUCAUAUACAUGUAGUUGUAUAUAUGUACAUGGUUAUGUAUUGGCCUUCUAAACCUAUUUUAUGUUUAUAGUUACUGAUGUAUACUCUCUUUCAUGUAUAUAUGUUUAAUUGUAACGUGCAUGUAUUGUAUUUAACAUAUCCUCGUUUAAUCGAAAACCGUACGACUAAGAGGAAAUGGCUGGUGCGCAUGCUCAGUCAUGUCAUGCUAUCAAUUUAACGACAUUAAUGUUUACCGUCUUUAAUUUAGAAAUAAAAUGUAUAAAAAGGUAAGUACAUACUCACAUGUUAUCCGUUCCAUCAAGAAUUGCACCAAUUGCAAGAACUGUGUAGGCAUGCAUUUGCAUUGCAUUCAGUAACAUUCCAGGGCACAAGUUAACUGUAAUAAUAAGUUUCAUUGUGCAUAAAACUUAUUCUUACCCUUUUUGGGGGAUUUUUAAGGAAAUUUGUUUUAAGUACACUUCCUUAACAAGAAGUUGUUGUCGUGUCAACGAUCGAACAUGCACAGACAUUACUAGAUACCAGGAAGUAAAAUAAUACGGUUUUCGAUUUCGUACGGGUUUCGAUAAUUGGCGAUGGUAUGACGUUUCUAAACAAUGUAAUGGAAGUUUAUUGCUAAGUUGUUUCUAUAUAGGAGAAGUGUUAUCAUGUUUGUUGUUCUAGCUACGUACGGCUUUGAAACUGAGAUGCGUGUUUUUCCAAAUAAUGUGCAUUUAUUGUUAAAACAAAUUGUUUAUGAUAUCUUACGAAUUGUCAGUCGAAGAUGCACAAUGUGGAGAUUUGUGAUUAAGCUAACCGUUUCGCUUUUCCCUAACCUGUUACUUAUUUGUUGUUUUUUAUUUGGUUAUAUCUGUGUUAUUGUCUUGUUUAUCACAUAUAAAGCCUUAAAUUAUUUGUAUUUGGUUAACAUACAUUAUGAUCAUCCAUACGUUUUAAAAUAAAUAAUUACAUUUAUGUUUUAUUUUGUUGAAUUACUUAAGUCUUAUUAAUAGAGUCAACUGUCUCUUACAUUGGACCUGGAUUUAUCUCUCACGAUUUUGAAUUACGCGUCCUGUUACAUUUAUAGAUUUAUAACAGAAUAAUGAAACUUUAACACCAAAUUAUGACCAGACAGUUAUCUGUGAUUGCACAUCCGGUUUCAUAAAUUGACAAUUGAUGAUUGAUUAAUAAGCGAUUAAAGUG